GGCUACACUGCAAGUCGAGCGGAUGACGGGAGCUUGCUCCUUGAUUCAGCGGCGGACGGGUGAGUAAUGCCUAGGAAUCUGCCUGGUAGUGGGGGACAACGUUUCGAAAGGAACGCUAAUACCGCAUACGUCCUACGGGAGAAAGCAGGGGACCUUCGGGCCUUGCGCUAUCAGAUGAGCCUAGGUCGGAUUAGCUAGUUGGUGGGGUAAUGGCUCACCAAGGCGACGAUCCGUAACUGGUCUGAGAGGAUGAUCAGUCACACUGGAACUGAGACACGGUCCAGACUCCUACGGGAGGCAGCAGUGGGGAAUAUUGGACAAUGGGCGAAAGCCUGAUCCAGCCAUGCCGCGUGUGUGAAGAAGGUCUUCGGAUUGUAAAGCACUUUAAGUUGGGAGGAAGGGCAGUAAGUUAAUACCUUGCUGUUUUGACGUUACCGACAGAAUAAGCACCGGCUAACUCUGUGCCAGCAGCCGCGGUAAUACAGAGGGUGCAAGCGUUAAUCGGAAUUACUGGGCGUAAAGCGCGCGUAGGUGGUUCGUUAAGUUGGAUGUGAAAGCCCCGGGCUCAACCUGGGAACUGCAUCCAAAACUGGCGAGCUAGAGUACGGUAGAGGGUGGUGGAAUUUCCUGUGUAGCGGUGAAAUGCGUAGAUAUAGGAAGGAACACCAGUGGCGAAGGCGACCACCUGGACUGAUACUGACACUGAGGUGCGAAAGCGUGGGGAGCAGACAGGAUUAGAUACC
rnacentral:rRNA from 1 species